CAUGCUAGUUGCGCGACUCAGAUCGCAGCGGAAAGCUCAGUAACACGUGGCCAAACUACCCUGCAGAGGAGCAUAAUCUCGGGAAACUGAGGCUAAUACUCCAUACCGCACUCACGUUGGAAUACCGAGUGCCCAAAACGCUUCGGCGCUGCAGGAUGUGGCUGCGGCCGAUUAGGUAGACGGUGGGGUAACGGCCCACCGUGCCGAUAAUCGGUACGGGUUGUGAGAGCAAGAGCCCGGAGACGGAAUCUGAGACAAGAUUCCGGGCCCUACGGGGCGCAGCAGGCGCGAAACCUUUACACUGCACGACAGUGCGAUAAGGGGACCCCAAGUGCGAGGGCAUACAGUCCUCGCUUUUGUGUACCGUAAGGUGGUACACGAAUAAGAGCUGGGCAAGACCGGUGCCAGCCGCCGCGGUAAUACCGGCAGCUCAAGUGAUGACCGAUUUUAUUGGGCCUAAAGCGUCCGUAGCUGGCCGCGUAGGUUCGUCGGGAAAUCCAUCCGCCCAACGGAUGGGCGUCCGGCGAAAACCACGUGGCUUGGGACCGGAAGGCUCGAGGGGUACGUCCGGGGUAGGAGUGAAAUCCCGUAAUCCUGGACGGACCGCCGAUGGCGAAAGCACCUCGAGAAGACGGAUCCGACAGUGAGGGACGAAAGCUGGGGUCUCGAACCGGAUUAGAUACCCGGGUAGUCCCAGCCGUAAACAAUGCCAAUUAGGUGUGGCACCGACUACGAGUCGGUGCUGUGCCGUAGGGAAGCCGAUAAAUUGGCCGCCUGGGAAGUACGUCCGCAAGGAUGAAACUUAAAGGAAUUGGCGGGGGAGCACUACAACCGGAGGAGCCUGCGGUUUAAUUUGGAUUCAACGCCGGAG
rnacentral:rRNA from 1 species